UCGCUUCACCACUUCUCGAAUUCUUCAUUCCCGGACCCUGAAUCUGCAUACCCGUGCGCCCGGACUUGAGGAUACGAAUAGGAAGAAAAAGCAAAGCGAGAAAAACGAAAUUAAGGAAUUAAGAAGAAGCUUUCCGGCGGACUCGUGCUGCCGUGCUUGUGUAUUUUAUCCUACCUUAGAUGCAUACGAAGCAUGCACGUAUGGUUACGAGAAAGAAAGAAAAAGUACUCCUGCAUCGUUCUAUUCUUAGCUGCAGAAGUGUAAGCUGAAGGGAGUAACAGUGUGAUCUAUAUACAUUUUAUCAGAAUAUGGCACAGGGGCGAAACAAAUUAAACAUUUUUCUAGGAAAGAAAGAUAGCACAAAAUUUGCCCGCAAAAUUCACAAUUUACCCCUUCAUCUCACUUUCCUGCCCCCCCGUUCAGCAUGAUAUCCUGGAUAUCAUGUUGCAGCGUAUCAAGAAUGGAGUCAGCUUCAGCCUUACUGAUCCGAUCACCGUGGCUAAAUAUCCCCACAUCGAGCCCGUUAUCUCUUAUCGCAACUUCCACGUCGAUCCCGGGCUGGGGUAGAGCAUAUAUAUGGUUAGCACAAGGAACUUUGCCCCCAAAAAGAUAAAACAAAAAAGAAAAAGAAAAAGAAAAAGAAAAUAGAACGGGAAAACUCGCUUAUCCACGACAACCAACGCCUUUUUUUUUGGUUGGGGAGGUUUGAGUGGCUUACCAUGUAAAUAUCUGCAUAAGUCUCGCUCAAGCCUGGCUCCAGCGCCGCUUGGUUGGAAUUCGGCACUUCUCCAGGGCAAUCAUCCGACGUGCUGUCGCGGCCAACUUCAACUCCUUCAGCUGCUUGCAACGGCACAAUCUGAGCCAUCCCCCUUGUAAGCUCUGCAGGGCUAUGAACUCCACCCGGCGUAACCGGCAACUUAAUGAAAUUCACAAAGGUAUCCAGUUUCACCCCGGUCCAGUCCGCAAUAUCGAUCAGAGAGACGCAUGAAUGUUCGACGCGGCUCACCUCAUGCAAGUCCCCUUGGAUUCUCCGUGCCUGGUCGACGAUGGACUGCUGUUUGCUGUCUGUUUCUUGUUGGAGGGCAAUACGUAGGGGAACUAUGUUGAGGGUAGGUGCAAUUAGUUCUGGAAGGCCGUCUAGGGAGUGCGAGCGGUUUGCGAGGUAGAUUCCGACAGUGAGGUUGUCGGGACUGGUAGUGUUUCUGUGGUCAACUCUAUUAUUGAUGAUGGCGGAAUGGAUUCUGGCAUAGAUGGCUAAAAAGAGAGCCUGCACGCUGACGCCGUACGAUCGGCCGAGCUUCUCCAGUUUGUCAAUGUCUUUCACGAGAGAUUGGCGGUAUUUAUGAACCAUCUCUGCGUCAAUUGGCUGUCUGAUUUUUGGAAGCUGGUUUUCUUGUUGUCGUUCAGAAUUCCUGACAGGCGCAAGGUAGUGUCUCCAGAAGUUUUGUCGUUCUUGUGGCUUGGAGUGUAUAUGCUGGUGGAUGACUAGCUCUGAUAUGUCCACUUUGGCAUUCUGAGGUUUGGCGCUCGGCCUUGGGCUGGUGCAGAGUUCCGCAAGCAUAUUCAUCAUUCUAGGCAGACUGACAGCAUCGUACAAGGCAUGGUGGAUGUGAAGAAUCAAUAUCGUUUCGUCCAGCUGCUGUGAAGCAUAUAA
rnacentral:sRNA from 1 species